GGGAGGGCGUGGAGAGGUUUCGUCUCAACUGCUAUUGGCUAAAGACAGUGCGUUGGACACACCUGUGAGUGCCAGAGGCUAAGGAGAUUGGCUGCGACCUGAAAAUUACACCUGUGGGGGGGGGGAGGUGGGGGGUAGGCUACAUGUAAACCCUUUACAUAUUCUGUGUCUGUCUUGUUGAGGAGCUAAACCGCCGAACGCCACCACCGAGAGCUCUUGGAAACAACCAAGUUGUGAUCAAGCGACAGAAAGAUAGCUGACGCGCUACCAACUGGUUGAUUUUUUUUUUCCGGGUAUGGCUGACGCUACGGCUGCAUUUGCCGGAAAGGGAUGGACUUUUUUUCUAACUCAGCAACAAUUCAGAGGUUGACCCUCCUUCACCAAAACAGGAAAGAGGAAGACCAGCCAACGAGGCGUCAGGCACCCUCACACAAUGAUGCCUCUUGUCUUGGGUUUCUGGAUCGGUGAUCGCACCUGGAAAAGACGGGCACGCCUGCAGCACUGGUUUAUAAUGCUGAUGAUUAACUAAAUAGAGUCUGGGCGAGCAGGUCUGCUUGGUUUUCUCAUUUCAUGUGUCCUGACUGACCCGGAGGAAGACGUCGACUUCUCAGGCUGGAAAUUCAAGACCUUUUUCCUUUUUCUUUUUCAUCCCACUCCCUCUUACACUGGUUUUGUUACAUUCUUUUUUUUUGGGCUACCUUUCAUGACGGUAAGGUUACAGGUGUAUUCUCAUUUUCCUUCUCCACCUUCUUGCCCUGAACUAUUCCCUCCCUUAUACACUUCUCCUGCUCUUGCUCUACCUCCCCCUCUAGCUAUUCUACUUUUGCUUACAGGAUGACAAAAAAAUAAAAAGCAAAAACCUUUUUCUCUUAAAAUAAAACCCAGUAACGCUCCAGUUUUAAAUUUAGCCCUUUAAGGACGAGAAUGUUCCACAAUGUUAACCUUUGACUAAAAUAAAGAACCUUCUACUGACCCAUGUUAGUGGACAUGGUGUAGGGAAUAUUUAGGUUAAACAUUAUGUUAUUUUCACCAUGUUCUAUAAAGUAGAAUAAUAUUUGGAUACCAGACUUGUGAAGGGCAGCAUGGGGGUGAGGACUUGUUGCGGUUUACCUGAGAAUGAGCUGUUAUUCAGUAAAGGAGGGCUGUGCCGCUGACCUUCUGCAUACAGAGAGUCAGCUCAGGUCGGGCUGAGCAGCAUUCCAUCAGCCUUUCAUCACUCGGCAAACACAAAGACAACUGGCCGAGAGAACAAACCAAAAUCUCCUUCUCCUUUCUUAUGGUCCACAGAACCUCUGUUGAACUGGACUUAAAAAUGCAACUUUAACGGACCUUAAACUUUGUGUUGUAACGUUAAAUCCGGGAUGCUGUAGUGCAACAGAAAUAACUCCCUCAGGCAGAUGCUUGACUUAGUGACAUUGUGGUGAGGAGGUACACGAUGUGCAACGUCUGAAAUUCGUAAGGGUCAUGUGUUAUGUGAAAAACAGCCCUCCCAGACUUGCCAGGCCAUAUAUUUAGACCAGUCACAACAGGUUUGGGCAAUCAUUAACAACUACUCUGGCCCAGUCUUCUGUGACAAUGAGUUUAAGCUCAAAAUCUCAACAAGGGCUCAACAAUGAUAUGACACAGAGAUGGCUUCCAAAGGUGGACUUCCAGUUUUUUUCUCCGUCACAAAACCAGAUUUAACCAGGAAUAUUUUCCCUGAAUUAGUUAAACCAAGCGACCAAGCAUGCGUACCUAAGGUAAAAUUCCUUUUGUUAGCUUCACAUUAGACGACACUGUCUCUUCAUGACUAUGCGCACAUGCACAUAGAAGAGGUAUAGCAUUAGAUGUUUGGGUGAUGAUCUCCAUCUUACGAGGCAGCAUUGGAUAUCAUCAGUUUUUCUAAUACUGCCUGGUAAUGAUGAUGCUAGUCAUCCGCUGACUGCACCAUACCAACCACUUUAGCUUCGUUCGCAUCUUGGGCAUUAAGAGAAUUGGCUCUCAGGAUCCAUCUUACCUGACAGUGCUGGAUUGUACAACUGUUGUUCUAACACUGUCUGGUAACGAUGUUUUCUGGGUGGUCACAUUUCACCGUCUGACUGAAAACCUGCCCUAAAGCGUUGGCAUAUCUCUUUCUCAUUGUGUGUGGUUGCGACGUCAGAUUUUCAACUCCAGAACAAAGUAAGUUAAUGGCUGUUCAAAUCUGUGAGGUCCCUGUUGCCAUCAGUAUCCAAGGGAGUGCACAGAUGGGUACAAGUCAAUAUUAGGUGUCGCAAUACAGAAAAAGAAAGACAGGGACACUCUUUAAACUUUUAUCCAAAUACACUCCUAAAGGCCAAAUAUUGUGAUCCCUGCCCCUAUGUCCCUUUUGUAAGUUAUAUUGUUGCCCCACCCAACCCACACUAAAGAACAGCAGUCGGUUGAUGGUUCCACCGGUCCAGCAGGCCCUUAUUUCCUUGUUCCCUCCCCUGCACAGUGUUGGUCUUUGUACUAUGAAGCAGUGAUUGGUCCAACUAGCCUUACCUGCGUGGCACAUCCUGAAACUGACACUGCGGCUCGCCUCAGACAAGGGCUGCAGACUCUGCAGACUCCUCCUCCCAGCUUCCAAAGGGUUUUAACCUCAACGGGACAAACAAAUGAUGAGAAAAUAAGGACAUUCUGCAACAAAAUACUAAUUUUACACGCAUCAGAUAUGUAAACUGUACACUGAUUUUUAGUAUUCUUCCUGUAAAAUAACAGAUUAAAACCUAAACAAGCGAAAUAAGUUGUUUAUUUGGUGUUUUCUUGUGUGCUUGGGCAGAAAUGUGAAUUUAAUGGGUAAAGCCUUCAAACAUACAUCAGAAACAAAUGCAAAUAACAGUUGUGGAGCUUGCACAAACCUAGUGUUUGUUUAAGGAGGGAGAAUUACCCCGCAAAUAUUGAGCCGCGCCUUUAUUUGCCCACCCAGCUCCAUUAUCCGAGGCACAGAGACAUGAAAUAGCAGUGUUUUUCCCCCGCUCGGCCGCCUCCUUUGUAUUAACCUCACAUAUUUGUGUAUUACCGUACUGAUGUAGAGUUUACCCUGCUUACUUUUUUCCUCAGUCUGUUUGCCUUUGGCUUUAUCCUCUCUCUCUCUGUGUGUGUCUGCACGCAUGGCCACGACAUCGUACACGUUGUGAUUGUGACAAAAGAGGAAGUGCUCAUUUCAAACUGUUCCUGCCACACUGUUCUGCUCUCCCUUCUUCCUCUUUGCACAGGUGAAAGGUGACAGAGGUCGUCCUUCCAGCCUGUUGAUAGGCGUCUUACCAGACAUGGUUAGAUGUAAUAAAUGGUAUCUAAUACUGUCUGGUAAUGCCGUCCAUUAAAUGGCGUUACCUGCUGCUGUCUCACUUCCCCCUGUCGCUCUCAUGCCUCUCACAUGCAACGUGUUGACAAAGGCCAUUCCAGGGACACGCUUCAACAUAUUAAUAGCGGCAGCAGACGGGAUGGCCGAUGACGGGUUUGAUGAAUAUGAAACUAUGAUCCCGGCACUGGAAGAGUGGUCGAUUUAAUUUGGGUUUCUUCCAUGUGUCUUGAGUCAGAGUUUCUGUGUUAAGCAGCGGUCCGCACCAGCCAAUCAGAUCCCGUAAUACACUGUAUGUAUUGUAAAUGAGGUGCUGGGAAUAUUAACGUGAAUAUUAUGUGUAAAAAGAAAAAGGAACUGCUGCCUUCCUCUUAGCUCAGUGACUGAAUUCCUCCUGCUAAUGUGGUUUUUCUCUGGACAAUUUUAGAAAACCCAUGUUGUACCUGAUUUCAUGUUUUGUGAAAAGAUGCAAUAAAAUGAGCUAGAAUUUAAAACAUCUUGUCAUGUUCUCUUUCUGACAUCUUCUCCAUCAGCAAAAUUUUCACUUGAUUUUUGCAGCAGGUUUUCCCAUCAGUGCAAACUCUUCCCUGGGUCAGACCGGAAUGCAGAGCCCCAGUCAGGUGUGGAUCAAAUUACCAGCUGAACAGAGCUCCUAUUUAAAUACCUCAAUUUACCCACCAGGUCUCCCCCCUGACCAGCUAAGCCCUCAUUGUGUCCCGCUCUAUGGCAGCGCACAGUAGGCCGGCUUGAUAAACGGGGACACACAAGGUGCGUUUUCACUGCUUGGACCCGAGUGAAUCCACCGCACACUCGGCUGCUUUUGCUCGCUGAAAUCCAUACACUUAUUUUACAUGCUCACUGGUUACUUUUCGUUUUUUAAUGAGUGCUGCUUUUCUCCUAUCUCCGCUUCACAGUAACUCACAGAGCUAAUAGCAUUUGUGAGGCGUUUAAUUAGGCCGGCUCACUCUGGGCUUCAGUUGACUGCUUAAAUGCAGCUCUGAUUUUAUCAGUUGGAACACAA